rnacentral:rRNA from 1 species
UACAGAGGUCUCAAGCGUUGUUCGGAUUCAUUGGGCGUAAAGAGCGCGUAGGCGGUGCGUAAAGUCAGGCGUGAAAGCCCCGGGCUUAACCUGGGAAUUGCGCUUGAUACUGACGUGCUAGAGAACGGGAGAGGAUGGCGGAAUUCCCAGUGUAGAGGUGAAAUUCGUAGAUAUUGGGAAGAACACCGGUGGCGAAGGCGGCCAUCUGGACCGUUUCUGACGCUGAGGCGCGAAAGCGUGGGGAGCAAACAGG